UUUGUCAGUUUAUUUUCUAGCGAUCGACUAGCUUUUCAAUCACUAAUAACAUGGAUAUAAAUUUUCAAUUGCUAUUUAUCUGUUAUAUUACUUUUGGUUGCUUCGUUUAUUUUCCACAGCUUAUCAACCGCAACUCAAAAGAUUAUAACAUAAUAGUUAGCUCAAACUGCGGUUAACUUGCAACGAUUUCUUCAAUUGGCAUAAAUGGAGUUCUGUUAGAGUACGCUGAAGAUGGCUUAUAGUUGUAUACGUCAUGACUUUGCUGGCAAAGCUUUUCUGGUAGUUCACCUGUUUUUUCCUUCUGAAUUAAGAGCAUCUCCAACAGCAUCUUUAAAUUAGACUCUUCAAAUAUCUAUUUAGCCAACUCUCCAACUGAUUUGGGUAGUCAAACUAGAUGUAUGCUCCAACAGUCUCUCUAUUUACAUCUCCAAAAUCACAAAGAAACCCACAUGUCAUCCUCCCAUCUCCAUUCCCUUCCUCUUCCUCCUCUUUCUCUUUCUCUUUCUCUUCCCAUUUCUUUUCUCCCGCGUGGCAGCAUCGACCCAUCGAUCCAGCGGCAGUGGCGACGGCUCCAGCGCGCGAGGCGGAGGCGGCGGUGGCUCCCUGCGCAGCAGCGGCGAUGGCUGCGACGGCUCGUGCGUGAGGCGCGACGGCGACGACGACGACUGCCACGGCGGACGGUGGCCUAGACGACGACAUUGGCGGGGGGCGCUCAUGGCCGGCAUAUGCCCUCAGUUCGUCGCCGGCAGGGAGAGAUGUUGGAUGGGGAUGGGAGUGGUGGUGGGACCCACCUUUAGCCAGUGGAGGAGGUUGGCUACAUUUAGCUAGCCGGAGGAGCAAUUUGGCCAUCCGGAAGCCAUCCGGAUAGAGAGGCUAUUGGAGCUCGUUUUUUCUCUGUGUUAACUAAAUUUUACCUUGGAGAGCUAAAUAAAGAGUCUGUUGAAGUUGCUCUAAGUGGAGUUCUGAUCAAGAAACCAUAAUGAUAUGCUAGCUAAUUAUAAACACUAGCUCCAAAUAUGGAACGAACUUGAUAUGGUUUAUUUAGGCCAGAAAAUGCUCCUGAGAUUGAUUGCGGUCAAUAUCAUCCUGCAAAAUUAAUCCAUUCUUGAUUCUACUGGUGAAUUCCGAAAUGCAGUCCAUACAUUUGUUCUACACUUUACACUUUCUUGGGCUCAGCGUUGUUGAAGCAUCGGCUUCCUCAAAAAAGUACAAGAAAAAUACUCCAUCAGACAACGACCACAAGGGGUAGCGGCGAUCAGUCGCGCACAUCGGCAGCCAAUUCGGUGCUAGUGCUUCUCAAGGUUAUCUUCAUGUGUUCCAAUUGGCUCCACUCUUGGUGUAUGAUGAUUUCACAGGAACAACAGGAUACUAUGCGCAAUGGUGCUACACGCUUGGAAUUAGUAGCCAAGGAACUUUUAUUCCAUUUUGGAUGGCGUAGUACCUACAGAAUUUUGUGAUAGAAUCUACGUGAUUUUGAAAAAAAAUAUUAUUUUAGUAGAUCAUAUCAUCGGCAGAAGUUGGGGGUUUGUCCCAUCUUGUCUUUUUUAACUUUUCUGUUCACGUCUGAAUUUUUUGGCUGUGUGCCUACGGGCAGAGGCCGGAGAUGUAACACAUUUCCAUUAUCUAAAAAAAAAG